UACGUAGGGUGCAGGCGUUAAUCGGAAUUACUGGGCGUAAAGCGUGCGCAGGCGGUCUGCUAAGAGAGGUGUGAAAUCCCCCGGGCUUAACCUGGGAACUGCAUUUGUGACUGCAUCGCUGGAGUGCGGCAGAGGGGGAUGGAAUUCCGCGUGUAGCAGUGAAAUGCGUAGAUAUGCGGAGGAACACCGAUGGCGAAGGCAAUCCCCUGGGCCUGCACUGACGCUGAUAAGCGAAAGCCAGGGGAGCAAACGGG
rnacentral:rRNA from 1 species